CAGGAAAGAGACUGGGAUGAUUCUCUAUAUUUUGGCUGCUGGCUAUUCUUACUUGGCUCCGUAUUGUCAGUGGGCUGAGAUUACCGAGCCAUUGAUGCUUGAGCCUGGCCAAACCCCCGUAUGAUAGAGCUGAUAUCAUUGUUAGGGUGUAUGACAUCAAGCUUGCCGAAUACAUAGCUGAUAUUAGAGCUGGUAGUGUCUUCGGAUCUGUAAUGGAUGGUACUAUUUUUUUCUUUGUAUUGCGUUCCAGCAUAGAGAUAUGUUGUUAUCGUCUGCUUAUUUAGUAUUUACAUGUUUUGUUUUGUUUGGUGCAGUGUUGUAUAUUGUUGAUUUUCAUAAGAGAGGGCAUGCACAUAUCUUUAUUUGGCAUGACCUAGACAAGGAUCAUCAGCAGAACUUGGUGCUCAGGGUUCCUACCAUGACCGACAACAAAGUGAAGCAGAAGGCCAUUGAAGCUGUCGCCGACAUCUAUGUGGAAGCUUAAGAGGAGAAAUCUGUUAAAUGAAAUUAUUUCGUCACAUGUGUUAGCAUGAACAAAUGGGUGUGAUGGGCAGAACACCAGCUCUGGUUGUGGUUUUUCAGAGAAAAUGGACAAGGUCAGACUAAUCGGACGCUUGCUGCUAGGGAAGGCAAGACAUGGUGCAGGAAGCGUUUGGUGUUGCAGCCAUGGGUAUUGUGUUGAUCGAUGUCAAGGCAUCAUCACAUCCAGAUAACUACCUUGAGCCACAUGACAUGGUCUCCGGUUUAGAUGAUAAGAGCAUGGAUUGAAUGACUGGCAUCCUUCAUCAAUAUGUGCAGCAAGAUGAUAAAUACUCAGUUAUAUUUUGGGUUGCCUCCUUCAUCUGUUACGUAGAUUAGUUGGUUUGAGUCUAUUCUUCUUACAUUUGUUUUUUGCAAACUGCCUAAGGUUUUAGUUGUUGUAACUAAAAGGGAGUUGAUAGUUGUGUUUGAUGUUUUCUUCGGAUUAUAAUUAAGUGCAUAGCUUAUGAUGGAAUGUUGCCUACCUUUCAUUCAGUUGCUUUAUAAGGUGUUUCAGUCUUUUGUUCUAAAUAGUAUAUGGCUGGUAAACUGUUC